rnacentral:lncRNA from 1 species
GCUGCUGCCUUCCUUGGAUGUGGUAGCCGUUUCUCAGGCUCCCUCUCCGGAAUCGAACCCUGAUUCCCCGUCACCCGUGGUCACCAUGGUAGGCACGGCGACUACCAUCGAAAGUUGAUAGGGCAGACGUUCGAAUGGGUCGUCGCCGCCACGGGGGGCGUGCGAUCGGCCCGAGGUUAUCUAGAGUCACCAAAGCCGCCGGCGCCCGCCCCCCGGCCGGGGCCGGAGAGGGGCUGACCGGGUUGGUUUUGAUCUGAUAAAUGCACGCAUCCCCCCCGCGAAGGGGGUCAGCGCCCGUCGGCAUGUAUUAGCUCUAGAAUUACCACAGUUAUCCAAGUAGGAGAGGAGCGAGCGACCAAAGGAACCAUAACUGAUUUAAUGAGCCAUUCGCAGUUCACUGUACCGGCCGUGCGUACUCAGACAUGCAUGGCUUAAUCUUUGAGACAAGC